rnacentral:rRNA from 1 species
CAGCAGCCACGGUAACACGUAGGUGGCAAGCGUUGUCCGGAAUUAUUGGGCGUAAAGGGCUCGCGGGCGGUUUCUUAAGUCUGAUGUGAAAGCCCCCGGCUCAACCGGGGAGGGUCAUUGGAAACUGGGAAACUUGAGUGCAGAAGAGGAGAGUGGAAUUCCACGUGUAGCGGUGAAAUGCGUAGAGAUGUGGAGGAACACCAGUGGCGAAGGCGACUCUCUGGUCUGUAACUGACGCUGAGGAGCGAAAGCGUGGGGAGCGAACAGGAUUAGAUACCCGCGUAGUCCCUGUCUCUUAUAC